UAGAUCCAGUACUUGCCAUCAUCUUGC
rnacentral:piRNA from 1 species